rnacentral:tRNA from 1 species
GCCUCUGUAGCUUAGUUGGUUAGAGCGCUGCACCGGAAUCGCAGGGCCGUAGGUUCAAUUCCUACCAGAGUAC